rnacentral:rRNA from 1 species
GAUGAACGCUGGCGGCGUGCCUAAUACAUGCCAGUCGAGCGAACGGACGAGAAGCUUGCUUCUCUGAUGUUAGCGGCGGACGGGUGAGUAACACGUGGAUAACCUACCUAUAAGACUGGGAUAACUUCGGGAAACCGGAGCUAAUACCGGAUAAUAUUUUGAACCGCAUGGUUCAAAAGUGAAAGACGGUCUUGCUGUCACUUAUAGAUGGAUCCGCGCUGCAUUAGCUAGUUGGUAAGGUAACGGCUUACCAAGGCAACGAUGCAUAGCCGACCUGAGAGGGUGAUCGGCCACACUGGAACUGAGACACGGUCCAGACUCCUACGGGAGGCAGCAGUAGGGAAUCUUCCGCAAUGGGCGAAAGCCUGACGGAGCAACGCCGCGUGAGUGAUGAAGGUCUUCGGAUCGUAAAACUCUGUUAUUAGGGAAGAACAUACGUGUAAGUAACUGUGCACAUCUUGACGGUACCUAAUCAGAAAGCCACGGCUAACUACGUG